ACCAUGCUUUUGCACACUGACUCAACCAAUUAAGAUAGUGUUUUAAAGUAUUGAUAAUAAGAGAUAGUGUUUAAAAUUUUAAUCAUUAUUAUUAGAGAAAAACUGUUCUAGCUACAGGGAUCUGUUCUUCAUGCAUUAGUUUUAGCCUCUGGAAGUUCUGGCUUCACAUGUAAUAAAUGUAAGUUUGACAGUAUCUUGGAAGUAAGGGGGAAUUAGGGAGGGCUCUUGAGUACUAUGAUGGCUGGAUGGAAAAUAUGUGCAGUGAGGUUAGUCUGGAUAAUGGUGCUGCCUUAACAGAUGAUUUUCCUGAUUUUUCUUUUAAGAGAGUUUUGUAAUUGUUUCAGUUUACUUCCCCCCAGUGUAAAAAUUACUGGGGAUUCUCGACAUCCGUGUAUCUGGGUCUAUUGCCUAGGCCAUAUUCUCUAUAACAUAGUUGUCUACAAGAUUAAAACCACUACGUACUAGUCUGUGUUGACAGUGUGUUUUCAGGAGAUGCUCCAGAGUGGAAUCAAUGUCCUGUUACAACUCACAGUCACAACACAGACUACAAGCACCUAAAACUUUCAAAAGAACUAGAUUCGUCUACAUUUGACUAAAAUAAAUUUGAUACCAAGAGCUGUAUACUAGCCUUGGAAAGCCAGUAUAAUUUAUCAGUACUCCACAUGUCAUUUGGUUCCAUCUUAUCCAAGAGAGGAAAUUCACCCCAUUGUAGAGAGCCUAUAGAGAGGACCAUAUAGCAAUUUAGAUCACUAUCAAUGGGCUCUGACUGAGGAUUUUUUUGACAAAUGGUUUCUCACUCUUAUUCUGCCUCAGUGCACAAGAGGGAGAUAGAUAAAGGGCCUGGAGCAAGUAACAAUUCUUUGUAUUAUCCAUGUGUUUUCUGGCUAUGUUUGCAAAGAGACAUAAAGUUCAGAUGGCAAAACACAGACAUAUAAUCCAUCACUAAAUGUAUCCUCUCCUUUCCUCACAUAUGGUCUUCAUGUGUCAACUGCGGGCACUUUACCUGUUGCAUCAUCAGCCUCUCUGGAGCUUCGCAUGUUUUCCACCAGCAUACAUCUGUUGGGCUUUUGGUUUGGCUAAUUAUACAGGUUCUGGAUUUGGUUCUGAAGCUUUCAGCAGAAUUUAUACACACUGUUAAUGAUACUGUGCCUUGUUUAGAAAGCAAAGCAAAAUAGAUAAUUCUACAGAGAGUCGUGGAAGUGGUGAUACCAAAAUGAAUUGUGUUGCAAUAAAAUGCAAGCAAUGGCAUCCGGAAUACAGGAGAUGGAAAGCAGGUUAGCUAAAAUUCCGAGAUGCUGAAUCAACGUGGAAAACAGUAACAACUGGUGCCAUGAAAAGUUAUACAGAGCUUGACUGAUAUUUGAAAAGUCAACAAAUAGUAGAAGAAAAGAACACAAGUGAGAGAAAAUAACCUUGAGCCCUGGAAAUGGUUAUACCCCCUGCCAAAACUGGCCUGCUUACAACAGGUUUCAAUACCACAGAAGCAUAACUGUGGUCAUCUAAGGUUGCGAAUGAAUAUUUGCAUUCAGAUUAAGCCUCUGGUGCAAAAGUGAUCCACAAGUCAUGCCUGUAAUCCCUGACAGCAUGCAGAUUCAAGAGGAAUCUUGCAAGGGACUUCCACAUCUGUCCCCAUUUCAAUACUGCUGAGAAGCAAGCUAAUCAAGUUUCUUCCACUGCAGUUUCAGAUUUCUUAAGAGGCACACAUACUUUCAUCAGACUACUCCAGUAAGUCUAAAGGUGAAGACCAGGUUAGAAUUAAGUUUGGAUACAAAGAGAGUGAAGCCAGCAUAAGAAUAAAUCAAGACACCGGAGAUGGAAGGAGUCAUCCCAAACUGAAAAGGAUAGUCAGAAAGUCAUAGAGCCAGAAGUUUGAAAACCAAAGAGUCCUUGUUAUAAGUCAAGUCAGGGCUGGGACAAGGUGAGGUAUAGGAGCAUAACACAAAGGGAGCAGGAACCAGGAAUCAAGACUAGGCAAACAAGAAUGAAAGGCAAGAGAGUCAGAAGCAAAACUACAGCCAAAUGGCACUGCAGACUGCCAAGAGCAACUGGUGGAGUUGCCUGACACAUCUGCUAUUAGAGGAAAUUGGCCAAGCUUUAGCUCCUGCACAGCUGGGCCACAGUCCCAGUUGCCCUAUUGCAUCCAGCUGCAGGGCCAGUAGCCCAGGCAGAGCCCAACAGUGUGGUUAAAUGUUCAUCAACUUAAAACUUGAUCUGCAGGAAUAGCUUGUCUCUAUAAAAUUUUCUGGUGCAAGCAACAACUUUAACUCAACUUAAGUAUCCAGUAGAACACUGCACUGAUUUGCCUAAGUGUGUUUAAAAUUAUUGCUUUAAUUAAGCACUGCAAGUUUGUGCAGUGAAAAUGCCUUACUAUAGAAGAAAUAGAUGUAUCUGACGGCAGGCAACAGUGCCAAGAUUCCUAGAAGUGGAAAGACAUCCCCUCAUCUCCCCCUACUGGUGUGCACGUCCCCGCGCCUCUGUGGAGUGACGAGGAGCAGCUACCUCCUCUGCUCUGCCUAUGCCAGUAUUUCGUGAAACUGAAAGAAUCACAGAACAUGCUGUGUUGGAAGGGACCCACAAGGAUUGUCGAGUCCAACCCUUAGCCCUGCACAGGACCCUUGGGAGCAGCUUCCAGCAUAGAACUGUUCUCAAGAUGCUGGCAACAACUUAAAACCACAGUCCUCCUAUCAAGAAUUAGUCAUUUGCUCCCAGAGAGUUCAUUCUGCAGACUUUGGUUGUUAAUUAGAUGUUGCUUUUAGUGGGAGACUACAGAAUACAGAUUUUGCAAAGGGCUUUAAGAUAUUAUCCCAGUGAAUAUUAAAAUCUUCUAGAAAAUAUAAAUUAAGAAAGGAAUAGAAAGAAAGCUCACUGUUUUUAAAGAUGUUUGUGCAGUACAUCAUGACAAACAUCAAUCAUGACAGACAAAUGCCUGUUGAGAGAAAGGAACAAUACUUGAGAGAAAUGGGAACAGCAAAAUAACAAGAUACAUGUUCAUUUUCUGUUAUAAGUAUCUAAUAUAUAGCUAAUUUAACUCUGGUGUGUUAUGAAAAACUACUAGUGGCAGAAGCAGCUGAAGAGAUCCUGAAGACAUGAUACUCAGUAUGUUUAAUACCCAGGAUGCUUUUCUGCCUCUUUUUUCAGGAGCAAUGCUGUUGACAGAGACACAAGAACAAAGAGGAAUGUGUGUAAUUGCUUUUGCAAGAGAACUUUGGAAUGGAAAAAAAGGACAGAACAACACGAUCUCUGAAUGGGACUUCAGUUUACCAGAUGUCUGCUGGAAGUACAACACUGCAGAGGGGAAUCAGUCUAAGAGGCUUCCGGAGCUUAUGGAGGGCAACUUCCUGACACAGCUGUCUAUCCUGUAAGAGGAUUGCAAAAAUAAAUUCAGAAGGUAAAGGAAGGAACUCACUAUAAUCUUCAUCUUCUGAUUCAAGACGGGGAAGAAAAUAGAAAAGACAGUAUAAGUAAACUUACCUGGAUAAAAACGGAGCCGUUGAUAAAGAUUUGGAACAACCUGGCUAAACUCUAAGGUCUUGAUAUGUCAGCUCUGUGCAACACCAUUAGAAAAUUUAAGAGGAAAAACAGGUUAUGCUCAAACAUUAAUUCUACAGGGAAGAAGGAGUCUUCCCCUCUUUGCAGAAGUUCCAAGGGACUUGGAAAGCUUCAGGUAACAUUGGGCCCUUUUGAGCAUCAAGGGCUGUGUCCUCUGAGGUUGAAAGAAAAUGGAAAACUAAUCCUCCUGGAUCACACUCUUUGGCUCGGGCAGUCAGCUUGCACCAAUCUGAAUUGAGCUGGAAUGAUUGCUUUCAACAGGACUUUUGGGUUUGCCUUCAUAACUCCCACAGCCACUUAACGUCAACAGGAUCCCCACUGGAGAUCACUAGGCUUGCUAUCUGUUUCCCACCAGUGAUAUCAUUUGAUUACAUGCAGUAAAACACACAAGAGAACAAGGCAAAACCUUCUUCUGGAGGCACAGUUGCUGAGGAA